GUUAGAUAGCAUCUGAAACCUAGGACAUGGCUUCAGAUGUAAGCCAUCCCCUCUGAGGCUCCCGGCCAUAUCUUUGGUAUGUCCGCUUUGAUUCUGCAUGGCUAACAGGGACUUAAUGCUGCCUUGACUGCUGCUGUGGAACUCGGUCUGGUACUCAAGGUGUCCAAGGAGGCCAGAAGAGAGCACCAGAUCCCCUGGAACUGCCACUGUAAACGAUGCUGCGCGGCCAUAUGGGUGCUGGAAAUCGGACCUCUGCAAGAGCAGCAAUGCUCUUCAACAACGAGCCACCACCCAGCCCCGGAGGAUGUGAUCUUAGAACCCAACAUCCCGAGAAAUAGGGAGACGGCUGUGGAGAAGGCUCAGUGGGUAAAAUGCCUUCCUUCCAGGUUCAUGGCCCAGAGAACACACUCAACUGUACAUGAACGAGCUGUGACCAGAAAGCUCUGGAGGAACAGAAGCCCCAGUGCCGACGAUGAUGCACGAGAGUUAUAGGUGGGCAGGUCCAGCCAUCGGGGCUUCUCUGGUCCUCACCCUGAAGUCUCCAGUGUGGGAAUGAGAAGAUGGUGCAGUCAGGACAUCUGGGGCUCCUUCUCGGUCCUGCCCUUCAUGAACUGCAGGUGACACUGGGUGGCAUCAUCUCUCUCACCUCUGUGGAAAUGUUAUAUGAAUCGUCAGUAAUGAACCCUGGUACAGUGUGACCGGCUGCCCAAGCUCCUGCCUCUAGGCUUUCCCUGCUGUGAUGGAACGGCACUCUCAGCCUGUGAGCCAAAAUGGACCCUUCCUCCUGAUAAGCUGCUUUUUCUCGGGCGUUUUGUCAUGGCAAGGAGCAAGUGACUGAUGCUAUCGUCGUGUGCUGCCUUGCCUGCAAUUUUGUGUUAUUUUUUGCUGGGCUCCUAUACUCUUACAAAUACCUCUUGGCUUGUGUUUUUCAAGAAACGUAGUCCCCUUGGCAGUGUCUAAAGGCUGUAUUAGCUUGGAAGUCUGUUCCCAAGGACAGAGGCCCUGGGAAUAAAGUGCUUCUGGUUCUGCGCGAAGCUCUCUCCGCUCUCGGUGUCCUUUGGGAGCCGUUUCAACCGUGAUGGGGCAGCGAGCCUUUGAUGGAGCGGUUGGAUCUGCCCAGCUGUGACACAUGCUAAGUCCCGUUCCUAUCCCUGCAAAUCUAAUUUUGCUGCUCCAAAUCUCUACUCCAAAUAUUGAACCGGAAGAGGGAAUUAAAUUCUCUCAAGUUCAAAUGUACUUUGCUGUCACUUGAGGAGAAUGGGUUUGUCCCUAGAAUCUCCGUGAUGUUUCCUCACAGGCUACUUAGGUUGUAGGUUUUCCUGAAGACAGCGAACAUUUGCUCAAAUGAAACUGUGAUAAAAAUGACCUCUGGGGGUUGGGGAUUUAGCUCAGUGGUAGAGCGCUUGCCUAGCAAGCGCAAGACCCUGGGUUCAGUCCCCAACUCCGAAAAAAAUAAAAAAAAAAUGACCUCUGUUUGCAGACCCUAAGCAGGUGGGGUGGAAACUUGCUCAAAUCCCAGACCUGCCAUGAGAGCAGACUUCCAUUCUUCUGCUUCUCCUCACGUUCAAGCAGGAACAGACUGUCCUUGGCAACUGUGCCACCUGGUUCUCCUCACAUGGCUCUCUGGAGCGUCGGCCUAUCCACCAAGCCCAGAAGUUUAGCCACAUGCUUAAGGUCACCCAGCAGGCUAUCUUGGAAAGUGGAACUUGAACCCAGGACCAGGUGAGCCUUCCAGACUUCUGGGCACUUGGGCACCUUGCUGAGAGCCCACAGUGAGGCCGAGUACCAGGCUUGCUGACAGGUGUGUGCGGGAAGUCGAUGCGUCCACGCAAAGUAGGUGACAAGGGAUGGGGCUGUUCUCUGCUGCAUCCACACUGCUGAGACCACUCUCUCCCUCCAAGCUGCAGCGGCUCCCUAUUGCCUUCUGGGCAAGGUCUCUCCCCCUGAACUAUUCCUUGUAGAAAUGUUUCCUCUUACAUCUCUGCGGGGUCCACAAGGGAUUUGUUAAAGGGCUUUGCUGGGCACAGCAUCGGCAAUACCUCAGCUCCUCCACCUUCCUUUGUACCACAGGAUACAAAGAGGCGUGGUUUAGCGCUAAAAAUGCACUGGGGCCCACGAGCUUGUCUCAGAGGUCAGAGGUCACUGCCAGCCUAGGCUGAUUAGGAAGCAGCCAGGUUAGCGGGACACAUUAGCAGGAUGUCAUGAGAUGUUCGCUAAUAAUUAUAACCAAGUAAAAGAAAGGACCGGGCUGGGGAGAUGGCUCUGCAGGUAAAGUGCCUGAUCUGGGUUUGAUCCCCAGAAUCCAAAGUCAAAAGCAUCUCCUAUGGACAAGACAGAGACACACAUGCACACACAGAAAGACAGACACAAACACACAGACACACAUACAGAUAGACACACAGACACACGCACAGACAGAUGCACACACACACACACACAGACAGAGAGAAAGGGAGACAGAGAGACAGAGAGACACACAUGCACACACAGAAAGACAGACACAAACACAUAAACACACAUACAGAUAGACACACAGACACACGCACAGACAGAUGCACACACACACACAUACAGACAGAGAGAAAGGGAGACAGAGAGACAGAGACAGAGACACACAUGCACACACAGAAAGACAGACACAAACACACAGACACACAGAUAGACACACAGACACAUACAUAGACAAACACAACUGCAGACAUACACACAGAAAGACAGACACAAACACACACACAGACGAACACACACACACACACACACACACACACACACACACACAGAGCUCCAUGCUCCCAGGGAGUGGCAAGCCCCUACCUGAUCCCUUUAAACAACAUAGAGGAGAGAGGCACAUCUGCUUCCUUAGCACACAGACCCAAGGCAGCCGGAGCAGAGAAAAUAUCAUUAGGGGCAGAAGAUCCAUGCUUAUUCAACUACCUGCCCUGCUUGGCCACAGGUAAUUGAAGUCGGAGGAGAAUCGUUGAAAAGUGUAUUAUGUUGUCCUGUAGCCUGGGGCCUGGGGCCUGCUAUGACCAUUAUACUCAAGUAUGCGGUUCUGUGGUUUCAGAGACCAUCUGUCAGCAUCUGUAUGCACAUUGAUCCCAUGAGCCUUUGCAGGUGACUUGCUGUGCUUGGUCUAUCACCAGGUAACCAUGGUGAUAUCUUUAAUCCAUGGUCUCAGCAACACAAGGGCUCUUCACCCCUGAUCACCUUUUUGUUUUGUUCUCCUGGCCCAGAACUUACCCAUGUAGCCGAGGCUGGUUUUGAACUCCUGAUCGUCCUGCCUUUACCUCCCAGGUUUUUAUAUAGACUACCAUCCCUGGCUCUUUGCUUUUGUUUGUUUGUUGGUUUUAUUGUUUUUUUCCCCCCAAGACAAUGUUUCUCUGUUGUAGCUCUGGCUAUACUAGAACUAGCUGUGUAGACCAGGUUGGCCUCGAACUCACAGAGACCUGCCUGCCUCUGUUUCCUCAGGGCUGGGAUUAAAGGUGUGCACCACUACCCCUGCAUAGUCCUUUGCUUUUGUCAUUAGACUCUCGGGGCCAGCCAGUUGGUUUGCUGAGUAAAGGGAUCUGCUUUGGAGACCUGGGUUCGAUACCCCAGACUGACAUGGUGGAAGGCGGUAACUGACUCCACACACACAUGCACUGUGGUACACAGGUGCCCCGCCAACACCGUACACACAGCACACACAUAUUACAUAAAUAAAAAAUUAAAACGAAGCCUAAGUAUAAAGUGGCUUUUGCAUCUGCUUGUGGUAGAUUUCCGUUGCUGUGAUAAAAUACCUGAGAUUAGAAGGUUAUAAAGGAAGAAGGUUCAGCCGGGGGUUACUUUACUUCAUUGCUUUGGGGCCAGAGAGAAGGUAGGAAACACGUAGUUGGACAAAGCUGCUUUCCUCAUAGAGAGGAAGCAAAGAGGAAGCUGGGGCAGGCCCCCCAGUAGCUCCUUCAAGGAUACUCCUCAGGACCUACUUCUUCCAGCUACGCCCCACCUCCUGAAGCGCCCUCUGGCCAUGGUCGUGCCACCAGUUGGCGAACAAAGCUUCAAUGGGUGAACAUCUCCCAUCCCAAUCAUGUCUUUGCUUCAAAGUAAUAUUGUGUUUUCUAGAACGGUGUUUGGAACCAGAAGGACGGAGAUGGAGAUUCAAAUUUAGUCACUUACUUGUUUCCUUGUCAAGUGGGUGAUUUGGGGGCAAACUCAUUUAAGAUUUCAGAAUUUGGGGUUCCUUACUUACAAAGGGGGGUGGUGGAGCCCCAAUCCUCCUUAACGAAGGCGACAUAGGCAUCCGUGUGGCCCUCCAUGCUGGGCACCUAGGAGAACAUGCAAGCAUUGCUUCAUACACCACAGUGGCCCUGUGAGGAUGGACUCUUCUCUCCGGCUUGUGUGUGCAGUGUGCGUGCGUGCGCAUGGAGACCAGAGCCUGAUGUCCUGUGUCUUCUUUGACCACCCCACAUCUCCGGUGGCACUUAGGUGCCAACAUCUUCAGGCUCUUCUCCCACCCUUGUAUCCUCCUGGUGAGGUGGUAGGGACCCCAUGGCCAGGUCCCCAGUGCUGGCGUUUGGCUUCCUGAGUUCCCAGGUCACAUUGUUAUUCUGAUUGGCUCAGUGUGAAGGAAUCUGCUUUGGUGUGCAUCUCAGAUUUGCCUUAUUAACAUAUCAUCCAUAGUUUCACCGUACUUGUAUACAAACCAGACUAUGGUUAACUUAAUAUUUUGUUAACAUAAAGCUGUAUACCUUUAGUUAUAUGUCACUAUGGUAAACCGAGAGCUGACAUCUUGUUCUAUAAGUAAGCUUAACUAGGAAAGCACUGGAGGCAUUAUUAGAUGGUGGUAGCCCAGGACCCACCCCUUUCUAAAUGGGGGUGUACAGGAGCAGAGGUGAGCUCCCCCACAGCCUUCCCCUCAUCUUUAAGGGUAACUCCCUCAGAGCUGGCCUGGGUCUAGUGAAUGCAUCUGGACUGCAGCUGGACUCCUGGAGAACUGCUUCAUGGGAAUGAGGAGAGUGAGAGGACCCACACUGGCCACCUCACCUCCGCAUUCGGCUCUUCUCAUAGGCUGUACGAACAGGGCAAAGGUCAUGCUUAGAGCAGCGGUUCUUUUUUUUUUUAUUUUAUGUAUGAGUACACUGUCACUCUCUUCAGACACACUUAUUCAGAAGAGGGCACCAGAUCUCAUCACAGAUGGUUGUGAGCCACCAUGUGGUUACUGGGAAUUGAACUCAGGACCUCUGGAAGAGCAAUCAGAGCUCUUAACCGCUAAGCCAUCUCUCCAGCCCUAGAGCAGCGGUUCUUAACCUGUGGGUCGGGACCACCUCAGAGGUCAAAAAACCCUUUCACAGGGUCCCCUGAGACCAUCCGAAAACACAGAUAUUUGUAGUACAGUUUAUAACAGUUAUGAAGUAGCAAUGAAAAUAAUUUUAUGGUUGGGAGUCCCCACAACACAAGUGUAGGAGAAACAGCAACGGCCACCUCUACACUGCAAAGGCAUCUCCUGCUGGAGGACCUAAUUGAGGACUGCCUGAGAGACCAAGGGUUACUGAUGCAGACAGUGUCAGCCAAUCGAGAACUGCUGUUUCGAAGAGAUGCUCUCUAGGGACCAAAGGGGCCCGGGCGAUGGUAUUAAAGGAGAUUGCAGCAGUGCUUGGGUGAGCUUGCCGCUGCUCACCUGCUGUUUCUCACCUGCUCUGAGUCUGUGGUACCUCACCUCUAACCCUCAAGGACAGAUAGUAUCACACAGUGAGUAGUCCAGGGCACGGGAAGCACACGAGGAACUGUAUUAAAGGGUUAUAGCAUAAGGAAGCACUAGGAAGGUUGAAAACCACAGGUUUAGAGAGAGAACAUCUCAGGGCUUUGCAGUGAGGGACCUUUUAGGGAGACAUAGAAAGUGUUAGCCAUGAAUAAAAUACCUGUGAACGGGACUACACACAUGCACACACACAAAGAUGUACCCAGACAUGUACACAUGCAUGGACACAGGUACAUACAUACGCAUGCACACAGGCGUACACACAUGCACACACAGUAUACACAUAUACACAUUUACAGAUACAUGUACACACAUACACACGUGUACACAGAGAGAUGUACCCAGACAUGUAUACAUGCAUGGACACAGGUACAUACAUACGCAUGCACACAGGUGUACACACAUGCAGACACACUGGUUUACAUAUACACAUGUAUACACACAUACACACAUGUACACACUUCAGGUCCACUAAAAUGAUUGACUAAACAGACUGACAAUUCUCAGUAUUAGUUAGGAUGUGAAAUAUUGCGGACUCUCACGUGCUGCUUUGAGGGUCAUAAAUUCAAACACUUUAAGAAACAGUCCUCUCUUCAAGAUCCCCGCCCCCUCUAUCUCUAUAUAUCUCCUGGUCCAGUGUUUUCUUUCCUUAGGCAUCUUCAACAAAAUUACACAUGUCUGUGCACCAAAGACACAAACUAACUCAACAAGCUCAAAGUACACUUUAUCCAUGAUCAGCAACAGUUUCCAUUUUGAAUGAGUUUAUUGAGAGGGAGCAAGAAAGAGAGGGAGAGGGAGAGGGAGAGACAGAGACCAGGGAGGGGGCAUCGCCAAAUCACAUGCCCAAAUCAUUCAUCAGGAAAUAAGCCCCUUUAAGGCAGCAGCUGGGAGAAGCAGAAGCCCAGAGAGUCUCCACAGGUGAGGCAUCAAAGUAAAAGAACAAACAGCAAGAGAGAGAGAGAGAGAGGGAGAGAGAGAGAGAGAGAGAGAGAGAGAGAGAGAGAGAGAGAGAGAGAGAGAGAGAGAGAACUCCAAGACAUCUGCCAGAAACCAACUGGGGCGAUUGAGGCACCAGCUGGAGUCCCUGACUGAGCCUUCUCUCCACGACAGAGCCGGCAGCUUCUCCUUCCCACUGCGGGUCAUAGAAUAGACACUGGUGACUGCUGCCAGGGCUGGAGACCUGCCAGCUUCUCUCAAGGGCACCGGGGUCUCUUGGGCUGUUUUAUUGUUCUCGUUGCCUGCUGUUAUGGAGUUGGGGGCAGCCCAUCCCCAGACAAAGGCCUCUGCUGCAGGAAGGACACUGUGAGACAACACACUGGGGUCUGAAAUCAGCCCCCCUUCCAGAGAAGUUUCCGAGAGCUCAAAGAGUCCCUAGGAGUUUAUGUCUAAGGAGGAUGAAGUCAGUUCCAACCCCCACAAUGAGACAGACCACAAAUACCUGGUGAGCAGAGGGAGGCGUAGAGGAGCCUUGCAAGUCAACGCAAAACCAGCUAAUACGAAUAUAAACAUAAAGCCAUUACUAUGAAGGUUAAAAUUGGCAAGGUCAUGUAGUCACAGAUAUCAAUAACAGGCUGUCCUUGGGAAGGAUGGCGGAGGGAGGAAGGCCCGGUGUAGCAGUGCUUUUGGACCCUUUCUUUCCUUUCUGCAUUUUAUUUAUUGAUUUUUUUAACUUAUGAUGCAGACUGCCCUUGGACAUGGAGGUGGUUGAAAACAGCCUUGAGCUCCUGGUCUUGCCUCAGCCUCCCAAGGGCUGGGAUUGUUGCUUGUGAUCCGGGUUUGGCUGUUCAGGUGAACUCACCCUGUGAUGACCUGUGUGGGGUCUGUGACUUUCCCACUUGCCCGUGUGUGUGAUGCUUCAGUGAAAUACGUCGCCUGGAAAGGAUAAAUGUUGGAAAAAUAAGCUUGCUCGAGCCGGUUCUCCUGGACCAAGGAUUGUGCCGGGAAACUGAGUGAGUUGAUGAGGAGCCCUGACAUAGACUGCACAUAUGUGUGUGUGUGUGUGUGUGUGUGUGUGUGUGUGUUUAUGCUCAAGAGCAUAGGUAUGUGUUUGUGUUUAUGGAUAUGUGUUUAUGUGUGUACAUCAGUGGGUGUAUGUUUGUGUGUAUUGUGUAUAUGUGUGUGUGAGUAUGUAUGUAUGGUGUGUGUAUGUGUGUGUAUGUGUAUAUAUAUGUGUGUAUGGUAUGUGUGGUAUGUGUGUGCAUGUAUGUGUGUAUAUAUGUGUGUGAGUAUGUAUAUAUGUGUGGUGUGUGUAGUAUGUAUCUGUGUGAUGUGUGUGUAUGUGUGUACAUAUGUGUGCAUGGUGUGUGUAUAUGUAUGGUGUGUGUGUGCAUGUGUGUAUAUGUGUGUGAGCAUGUAUGUGUAUGUGAUAUGUGUGUAUAUGUGUAUGUGGUAUAUGCAUGUGCUUGUGUGUGUAAGAUGGCCUCCGGGAAGCUUUUCCUUUCUGGUCACAUUGCAUGUUCUGGAGACAGUUUCUGGCUUAACCUCCAUAUGUUAAAUUAUCGUGUGCCACUGCAGGGUACUCUCAGGGAUCCUUCUGUGGAAGUGUUCUUCCUCCCUUCUCAGUCAGCUGGCUCCCCAGAUCCCUGACCACCCUCCUCACUCCUCAGGUUGUGUGUGGUGCCCUCUCCAGACCCAGCUGAGUGGCUCCUGUGAAAAGAUCUCACAAAGCCCCUGGGUCAGUUGACCUCCUUAGGGUCGCACACCCAUCGAGGCCAAGCUGCAGCUGGGCAAGCAGGGCACUUGAGUUGGACCUACAUGUGCUACCCAGCGCCUGCCUGUUACACAGGACGGGCUGAGCAUGUCAUGUGACAGAAAGGUCAGGGUGGGGAUGGAGGGUGACCUCGGUGCCUGCUGGCUUAUGAUCCAACCUCACUUCCCACACCUACAUGGUUUUAUCCUCCUAGUUGCCACCUCCCUCCCCUUAGCAACAAAGUAUAGGCAUUCGCGUCUCUCUCUGCAUUGUGCUGCACAAGGCUCCCUGGUCACUCAAAGCUGCCGCAGACUGAACACGGCUGGAGCUGGCCCACUGAAUUUGCUAUGCAGUCUGGUUGUUCCCCGACUUUCUCUCUCCAGACUCUUCAAUGGCCAUUCAUUCGUCUUUAGAGCUGACCCACUGGGCUUAAAAUAUCUUAACAAAGUUGGGUGCGGUGGUGCACACCUUUAAUCCCAGCACUUGGGAGGCAGAGGCAGGUGGAUCUCUGUGAGUUUGAGGCUAGCCCCAUUUACAUAGCAAGUGUCAGGACAGCCAAGACUACAUAGAGAGACCUUAUUUAAUAUAUAUUUAAUGUAUAAAAUAUAUUAUAAUAGGGGUUGGGGAUUUAGCUCAGUGGUAGAGCGCUUGCCUAGCAAGCGCAAGGCCCUGGGUUCGGUCCCCAGCUCCGAAAAAAAGAAAAAAGAAAAAAAUUAUUAUAAUAAAAUAAUGAAUUAUUGAAUAAUAUUAAAUAUAAUAAAUUAUGAUUACAUAUAACAUUAAUUAUUUUAUUAAUUAUGUAAAUUAUAUAUCCAUAUCCUCAACAAGGGCCAAGGAGAUGAUUGUCUUCAAGACCCAAGUUCAAUCCCCAGGACCCACAUGGUAGGACAGAACCAACCUCUUACCUCCAUAUGUGUAAUGUGGCUCACACUCAUACAGACGUACACACAUGCAUACAUGCAGUCACAUGCAAGCAUGCACACACACAUAUACACAUGCAUAUACAUGCACUCACAUGCAAGUGAAUGUGCACACUCAUAUAUAUGCACAUACAUGCACAUGUGCACACUCACACACACACACACACACGAGCGCUAAAUAAAUAAAUGUGUAAUAAGAGAAAAGUUUAGAUCCUUACAGUUUACUCUCUUUUUUUCUGGAAGACUGAGGUAAAAUUUACAGAGUGCAAUGCUAACUGUCAUGGCUUGAAAGUCGAGUGUCACCACAAGCCCUUGUGUGUGAGGACCUGUCUGCAGCUGGUGGUGCCGUUGCGGGAAGUUGUGCCGUCUUCUGAACGUGGGCUACAGCUGCUUGCCUUAGGUUAGGGGACGAGGGGAGGCGGGACUUGCGGGUUCUAGGGCUCUUUUCUUUCAGUGCUCAAUGGGAUUCCUUCUGAUUCCGCCAUGUCUCUACCGUGAUGGACAGUAUCUCCUGAACCAUGGGCCUAACUAAGCCUCUUUCCCCCCAGGACCUUCUGUGGUAUUUGGCCACUAACUCGGUCUUAGUUAAAUGUCAUUGGCUGGAUUCAAUUCGCCUCAUUGUGCUUUUAUCUAUUUCUAAGCCAUCAUUAUUUCCUAAAUGGAGCCUCUGCCCACCAUACAGUCCCUCCUAGUUCCUGCCUCUUCUUGGCUGCUGGCAGGCACAGAACACCCCUGCCCACCCAGGCCUCCGUCUCUUCUUACAUAUUCUGGACAUGUCAUAAAAACAGAAUCGUACAGUGUGUGGCCUGGGUCCAGAUGCUUGCGUGUGACACUGCUUUCAUCGGUGAUUCGUAUGGGGCUGUCGCGUGUACCAAUAUUUUAUUCCUUUUUAAGGCUGAAUAAUGUUCCAUCGUGCGGCUAUAGAACAUUUUGUUUCACCGGUGGGUAGAAACUGAGGGCAUCCGAGCCUCUUAGGUACCCGGGUAAAGCCUCUGCACCCACAUUCUUUCUCUGGAACAUUUGUUGAUUUGUGGGUGUAUGAGUAUGGGGCAUAUGUGCCACAGCUCAUGCAUGGAGGUCUGAGAACAGCUUGUAGCAGUCAGUUCCCUCCUACUGCCAUGUGGGUCCUGGGGACGGAGCCCAGGUCGUCAGGCUUGGUGACAAGUGCCUCCACCUGCCUCGCAGUCCCUGUCUCUCCACAUUCCCCCGACCACAUGCUUUCCACGAGGUUGUUUUACAUUCUUAUUUGCCAGCUGGCCUCUGCUGAUGGAUCUGGAAAGCUCCAGAACACAGCUCUGAUGACGUAGGCAGGGUAUUUUCUGGGGCUUCAGGCCCACUCUGCAGGAGGACCUUGUGGACAGCUAUUGAAGCCACAGCUGAUGCCACUGCCCAGGCUCUCUGUGAAGCUGGAUUUGGUGAGGGUGAUCUGGGGGUGGGUUGCCUCUCCAGACAUGGUCCUCACAACCUGUAUCCAUUCUUCUUCUGCCACCGGGAUGGGAGACUCUCUGGGAGGAUGGGAGCUGGAUUUCCACACCUGACCCCUGGCGCCCCCAACAGUAGAAGGAGAAGCAAGGUGAGGACAGACGCUUUUGACAGUGACUGUACCCUGGUGACAAGUGACAGGAGGCAGGCAGGCUUGGGCAAGAACAGCUGACACCCACAGAAGCAGCUUCCACUCGGGCAACACCAAUUUCAGCCCAGGUACCCCAGACUGGAACACCCGGAGCGGUGUCCAUGGAACAAGUGCCAGUUAGGGUGUACAGGGAACUCCUCCAAGGACCUGGUUUGGGGACAAGUCAGAGAGGCUAAUUUGCAACCCAGUCUGUUCUGAGUUCUGAUGGGUGAGUUAAUUCACCAGCUCCUAGCUGAGACGUGGAGAAGGCGGGUGGUGCUGGCCCCUUGUUUACCCAGGUCAGUUCAAACAGUCCACGGUUUGACCUCCAGACCUCCCGCCAGUGUGAAAUCAAUCCUUCCACAGUCUCUGUUCCUCUGAGGAAACAGGGGCUGGCCAGCACCUGAUCUCCCUCCAGCAGGUCAGAGGCCAAUCUCCUGGGCCCGGGAGCUAAGAUGAGCUAAGGUGUGUAACACACUCUGCUCCAUGGUGCCGAGCAUCUGCCCAGGUGUGAGGCCCGCCAUCUCCCCCGACAAGGAGCCAGAUUUACAGAGAUGAGUCUGACCUCAGGGCCAGACCUUGACCCUUGGUCUCAAGUCUUAGACCUUUGCAUCAGCGCAUGAACUGAUGGCCCUGGGGGUCCAGGGACUCAUCUAAGAAACAGAAGCUCAUUAGGCUGUGAGGCAGAUGCAUCCAUGAUAAUUCAGAACAUGCAAUCUUGCCAAGGAGAAGAAAAUAAAACCCGCAAGCGUUCUCACCGCCUGGGGACCGCCAAGGCUGCCGCGUGUAUUUUCAGCCUUCGGGGGAAACUUUAGAAGCUAACAUUGGAGGUGCCCUGCUGGCUCCCAGCCACAAUCUGGGGCUUCUGCCGGGUUUCCUACUGCACAGAAGUGGGCUUCUGAGCCUACGGUUCUCUGUCACGGGGCUGCCCUGCACACCGAAAGAUGCUUGAAGCUUUCCUGGUCCUCUCAUGGUCCCCGCUUGAUCCCUGUAGUACCCUUGAAGCCAGGACCAUGGAAACCAUCUCUAGAUAUUUCCGGGUACCAGCUGGCCCUGGAUGAGCAUCUGUGAGUUUGGGGGUGAAGGUGCUGGGAUCAGCCAGACUUGACUUUCCAUCUCUGCUUAGAUAAGGAGCCGUGCCAGUGACCUCUGACCCUACUCUGGAAAAGGCAGCACUGGAGAGGAGGAAACCUAGAGCACCCCGGGGGACUGUGUUUGCUGUAGGGAGCCACAGCAGCCUUGGUGAGGCCCAACUUCCCCCAGACAUUAAGAAGUACAGUGAGCCCUCCUGUGUCUUUGGGAAGACCUCUGACAGAAUGCUCUGUGCUGCUUGUCUCAGGGAGGUAACAGGAGCUGGGACAAAGGGCAGCUUUGGGGGUAGCCAGCUUCAGUAAAUGGCCUUUCUAGGCCUCCAUUUCUUUGUCUAUAAACAGAAGCAAUGGCGGUAUCUUCUUGUCGAGGCCUCCAGAAAGGAGGUGAUUUUACCUACCAAUGGCUAUAUGAAUAUGAUGUGAGGCCAGUGCGGGCUUGCAGGGGCAUGAUGGACACAGCGAGAGCAGCCUCUGAGGCUGCUGAAACUCCAGCAGCCUGCAGACCAAGAGAAUGUGGUUAGCUUCAUGCCUGCCUCCCACAGUUCCUGGACACAGCUGCUGUCCCCUGCGGCAUCGAGCUUGUGAAUGACACCUGACUUCGGAGAUCUGGGAUGAUGGUGUCCACUCCCUGAGACAUUUCAGUCUAAAAAUACCCAUUGUGUCCUGAGGGCUCCGGAGAGUUCACUUCAAGUUCUUGCUGUUCGUAACUGUUGCAAUAUUCGUAACUUAUUAAUAUGGAAACAAUAUUAAUAUAUGUGAUAAUAUUCCUACCUCCUGCAACUCCCCUUCCCUGCUGCUGGUUUGUUUUCUGCUUCUAUGAACGUGACCUCAGACAAGUAGGAUCUUAAACUGGGCGUGUCGCAGUGCAUGCCUUUAAUCCCAGGACUUGGAAGGCAGAGGCAGAGUUCCGGGCCAGCCUGGUCUACGUAGUGAGUUCUAGGACAGCAAGGACUAUGGAUAGAGACCCUGCCUCAAAAUACCAAACCAAGCAAACAAACGAACAACAAACAGAACCCCAACCUAAUGAACAGAACCAUGACAUGUUCUUCCUUUUGCCUCUGAAUUAUUCUUGGUGUCAUGUUCUUGAAGCUCAUCCGUGGUCCAGCACACAGGAGCAUUUCCCGAGUUUCUGAGAUCUAAUGAUGCUCCCUCUUGCCCUAAAACUGCAUUUUAUUGAUCUGACUGAUAUUUGGGUAGUGUACUGGCUGGUUUUGUGUGUCAACUUGACAUAAGCUGGAGUUACCCCAGAGAAAGGAGCCUCCCUUGAAGAAAUGCCUCCAUGAGACCCAGCUGUAAGGAACUUUCUACACUAGUGAUCAAGGGGGGAGGACCUGGCCCAUUGUGGGUCGUGCUGUCCCUGGGCUGGUGGUCCUGGGUUCUAUAAGAGAGCAAACUGAGCAAGCCAGGGGAAGCAAGCCAGUAAGUAACAUCCCUCCAUGGCCUCUGCAUCAGCUCCUGCUUCCUGACCUGCUUGAGUUCCAGUCCUGACUUCCUUUGGUGAUGAACAGCAAUGUGGAAGUGUAAGCUGAAUAAACCCUUUCCUCCCCAACUUGCUUCUUGGUCCUGAUGUUUGUGCAGCACUAGAAACCCUGACUAAGACAGGUAGCUUCUGCCUUUGGAUGACAUAUACUGUGAGCCAUGGAUAAGGGUGGGGCUGAGCCCACUUUCAGCCCUUUGAGGCCAGACCUAGAGUCAGAAUUGCUGGACUGUAUAACUGUGGGUCACAGAGUGAAGGGUGUGAGACAUCUCCCAAUGGUACCCCCACCGGCC